GAGCGUAGGGGACGAGCGUUGUCCGGAUUUAUUGGGCGUAAAGCGCGCGUAGGCGGCUGGGAAAGUCGGAUGUGAAAAAUCCGGGGCUCAACCCCGGACCUGCAUCCGAAACUUCCCGGCUAGAGGUAGGUAGGGGAGAUCGGAAUUCCUGGUGUAGCGGUGAAAUGCGCAGAUAUCAGGAGGAACACCAAUAGCGAAGGCAGCUCGCUGGGACGGUACUGACGCUAAGGCGCGAAAGCGUGGGGAGCAAACAGGG
rnacentral:rRNA from 1 species